GAUCCUGGCUCAGGAUGAACGCUAGCGACAGGCUUAACACAUGCAAGUCGAGGGGCAGCACGGUGUAGCAAUACACUGGUGGCGACCGGCGCACGGGUGAGUAACACGUGUGCAACCAACCCCGUACCGGGAGAUAACCCGCGGAAACGUGGACUAACAUCCCAUAAUACUGGAGGAUCGCAUGAUCUUUCAUUUAAAAUUCCGGUGGUACGGGACGGGCACGCGCGACAUUAGGUAGUUGGCGGGGUAACGGCCC
rnacentral:rRNA from 1 species